rnacentral:rRNA from 1 species
GUGGGGAAUAUUGGACAAUGGGGGGAACCCUGAUCCAGCCAUGCCGCGUGUGUGAAGAAGGCCUUUUGGUUGUAAAGCACUUUAAGUGGGGAGGAGGCUUACCUGGUUAAUACCUGGGCUAAGUGGACGUUACCCACAGAAUAAGCACCGGCUAACUCUGUGCCAGCAGCCGCGGUAAUACAGAGGGUGCGAGCGUUAAUCGGAUUUACUGGGCGUAAAGCGCGCGUAGGUGGUUAAUUAAGUCAAAUGUGAAAUCCCCGAGCUUAACUUGGGAAUUGCAUUCGAUACUGGUUAGCUAGAGUAUGGGAGAGGAUGGUAGAAUUCCAGGUGUAGCGGUGAAAUGCGUAGAGAUCUGGAGGAAUACCGAUGGCGAAGGCAGCCAUCUGGCCUAAUACUGACACUGAGGUGCGAAAGCAUGGGGAGCAAACAGGAUUAGAUACCCUUGUAGUCC